rnacentral:rRNA from 1 species
GUUGUCGGCCAUACUAAGGUAAACACACCGGAUCCCAUUCGUACUCCGAAAUUAAGCGCCUUAAGUCUCGGUUAGUAUUAAGGAUGGGACCGCUGGAAAGUCAAAGUGUCGAAAGCC